rnacentral:rRNA from 1 species
AUACGUAGGGGACGAGCGUUGUCCGGAAUUACUGGGCGUAAAGGGCGCGCAGGCGGAUAUUUAAGUCAGCUGUAAAAGGCAUGAGCUCAACUCAUGUAUGCGGUUGAAACUGGGUAUCUAGAGUGCUGGAGAGGUAGGCGGAAUUCCCGGUGUAGCGGUGUAAUGCGUAGAUAUCGGGAAGAACACCAGUGGCGAAGGCGGCUUACUGGCCAGCAACUGACGCUGAGGCGCGAAAGCCAGGGGAGCGAACGGGAUUAGAUACCCCGGUAGUCCUGGCCGUAAACGAUGAAUGCUAGGUGUGGGUGUCGAGAGGCAUCCGUGCCGGAGUUAACGCGAUAAGCAUUCCGCCUGGGGAGUACGAUCGCAAGAUUGAAACUCAAAUGAAUUGACGGGG